AUUGAACGCUGGCGGCAGGCCUAACACAUGCAAGUCGAGCGAGCGGCGGACGGGUGAGUAAUGUCUGGGAAACUGCCUGCUGUAGGGGGAUAACUCCUGGAAACGGUAGCUAAUACCGCAUACCAUCAGAUGUGCCCCGAUGGGAUUUGCUCGUAGGUGUGGUAACGGCUCACCUAGGCGACGAUCCCUAGCUGGUCUGAGAGGAUGACCAGCCACACUGGAACUGAGACACGGUCCAGACUCCGACGGGAGGCAGAAGUGGGGAAUAUUGCACAAUGGGCGCAAGCCUGAUGCAGCCAUGCCGCGUGUGUGAAGAAGGCCUUAGGGUUGUAAAGCACUUUCAGCGGGGAGGCGUUACCCGCAGAAGAAGCACCGGCUAACUCCGUGCCAGCAGCCGCGGUAAUAC
rnacentral:rRNA from 1 species